CUGAGAGAGGCUGGUGAAAGAGUCCAGCCUAAUACCAUGGUCUAUCACUGAGAGAGGCUGGUGAAAGAGUCCAGCAUAAUCUCAGACGGUCAACCGUGGCUUCCACUAUCUGGAAUUUUCAACAAACCAACAGGUAAGUAAUGCAUUUCACAAAGGCUUGUUUUAUCAUUACUGUUGCUAUGUCCCACAGUAACUGUAGGCCAGCAGUCCCAAUGCAAUACAUAUGUUGUAUUUUUGUUCCUCUAAAGGACGCAACGUCUUCCUCCCUCUGGGGGAAGAGGAAAGCUCCUCAGUGAAGACCUAGAGCAUGCCAUUGUAGGAUUGGUCAUUGCUAACAAUGCAAUAAAACUGAGAGAAAUUCAGACCAGAAUUGUAGAGGACAAGCUGGUAUUUCCCAAUGUGGAAAGCAUCAGCCUGACUACCAUUGGCUCGGACUCUGACCAAACACAGAGUUGGAAUGAAACAGUUGUACACAGUUCCUUUUGAAAGGAACAGUGAGCGGGUCAAGGAACUCCGGCACCAAUACGUCCAGGUAUGGUGUCUAUCCAAUAUGUCUUGUUCUAUAGUGAGUUUUACACUAUGCUACUCUACAUGUUAACAUGGGUUACAGUACAUACAGUAGGACAUACUGAAAAGCAUUGACACAUACUAUGUUUGAUUUCUUUCAGAGAGUCAUGGAGUUGGAGGUUAAUCACACCCCACAUGAAAUCAUUUAUGUAGAUGAGGCAGGGUUUAACCUGACAAAAACACGUCGGAGGGGAAGAAACGUCAUCGGGAAAAAGGCCACCGUUGAUGUGCCGGAUGACCUCCACCAACAACUGGUGCCAGAAGCAGAAAGGGAACAGGUGGGAGGAAACAUGAGGACAUUUGUGAUUGCAUGGGACAAUGUAGCAUUCCACCAUUCACAUGUAAUCACAAACUGGUUUGCAGCCCAUCCAAGAAUGCUUUCCCUUUUCCUCCCCCUUACUCGCCUUUCCUCAACCACAUAGAGGAAUUAUUUUCUGCCUGGAGGUGGAAAGUGUAGGAUCAUCGGCCACAUGACCAAAUGUCCCUCCUGGAUGCAAUGGAUGCCGGCUGCAGAGACCUCUCAGCUGAAGACUGCCAGGGGUGGAUAAGGCAUGCCAGGCGUUUCUAUCCACGGUGCAUAGCGAGAGACGACGUAAGAUGUGAUGUGGACAAGAACAUGUGGCCAAAUGCUGAUGAUCGUAUAGAUUAGAACGGGACUGUGCAUUUUAGUGUUUUUUUCCCUUCUCUGCCUUUUUUUACUGUAAUUGUGUUUUAUUUGUACACAUUUGGAACCACAGGCCAUGUAUGUUGGAUUUUUUGUUGAUCACUGGCAGCAAUUUCAUGUUGCUAAUAAAGCUUUGACUGCAGCAAUUCUGUCGCUAUUAUUUUCUAUUGUACAUUCUAUAAAAUAAAGAUGACUCAUUCACUUUUAGAUAGUAUGUUGCCAAAAAUGCACACAAUUGACACUCAACCAAAGAAUGUAGAGUGGUUUACAGCAAAAGGAAACUGAAUUAUAAAGAACAAUGGAUUCCAUAUUGUCUAUUGUAUGCAGGUUCUGAAACAUGAAAAGCAUUGCAGUUUUUGUAAUGCCAUCAACCGUUAGUAUUUUGAAAGUCGUUGUGCUAUGAUUGACUAUAUUCUCCUCUUGGAUAGAAAACAUGUGCUAGUGUUUUGACAGAAUGAUUAGAUAUUGAGUCGGGUUUGUCGUGUUUUGAUAGAGUUAGUGUACGUAGAGAAAGUUUUUUAUCAUUUUGAAAUGUAGAGAUGGUAUUUAAUGAACAAAAUUUGGUUUUUAGCAGAAAAUGAACUGUUUGACUAAUUGUGUGAUGUAGGUGUGUUAUUGUGUUAAGAGUUUAUAAAAAGUACCUUAAGUAUAGGUAAACGCUUGUUAGCAAUUGUAAAAAAAAAAGAAAAAAAAAGAAAACUGUAAGCCAUGCUUUGUUGUCAAUGGGAGAAUGGGAACGUUACACCUAAAUCCGAGUUAACAUAAGGAUCUCAAGUUAGGAGUCAGUUCAGGAGUCCGUGUUGGCCCAGUGCUGUUUGAGACGGUUAUAUAGAUUUGAUUUAGCCUGGUCCCAGAUAUGUUUGUGCUGUCUUGCCAGCUCCUAUGGUCAUUGACAUGCACAACACAAACAGAUCUUGGACCAGGCUAGAUGUGCUUGUCUUAUUUGCUGUGGUCUAGGUGCAGGACAUCUUUCAGAUGGUUGUUGGACAUGUGUUUGUCUUGUUGGUAAAACUUUACGAUGAUGGUAUGUAACAUUCAUAAAGUAUUCAUAAAACCUUUAUAUCCA